GUUUGAAGGAUCCACAUUUUCAGGUGUGGGUGGGUGGGCGAGAGCUUUGCUUUCCUUUUACACCCAGUGGCCUGCAGUUCAGGAUUCAAAUGAACUCAUCUUUCAUUCCUUCUUUCAGGGAAGAGUCACUAAACUCUGUGCUGGGCAUAGAGAGAUGAGCGAGCCACAGCCCUUACUCUCAGGAUGCUCCUAGUCUGCUGGGACAGUGGAAAUAAAUCCAGGAGUCCAGCUCUCUUGCCCAGGCUGGAGUACAGUGGCGCCAUCUUGGCUGACGGCACCCUCUGCCUCCCAGGUUCAAGCGAUUCUCCUGCCUCAGCCUCCUGUGUUGCAGGAAGUCAGGAACCCCGAAUGGAGGGACCGGCUGGAGCUGCGGCAGAGGAACAUAAAUUGUGAAGAUUUCAUGGACAUUUAUCAGUUCCCAAAUAAUGCUCUUAUAAUUUCUUAUGCCUGUCUUUACUUUAAUCUCUUAAUCCUGUUAUCUUCAUAAGCUGAGAAUGUAUGUCACCUCAGGACCACUAUUGUAUAAAUUGAUUGUAAAAUGUGUGUUUCAACAAUAUGAAAUCAGGGCACCUUGAAAAAGAACAGAACAACAGCGAUUUUCAGGGAACAAGGGAAGACAACCAUAAAGUCUGGCUGCCUACGGGGUCAGGCAGAAUAGAGCCAUAUUUUUCUUCUUGCAGAGAGCCUAUAAACAGAUGUGCAAGUAGGAGAGAUAUCGCUAAAUUCUUCUCCUAGCAAGGAAUAUUUAAUAUUAAGACCCUAGGAAAAGAAUUGCAUUCCUUGGGGGAGGUCUAUGAAUGGCCGCUCUGGGAGUAUCUGUCCUGUGUGAUUGAGAUAAGGACUGAAAUACAACCUGGUCUCCUGCAGUACCCUCAGGCUUAUUAGGGUGGGGGAAAAAAUCCCACUGUGGUAAAUUUGAGGUCGGACCAGUUCUCUGCUCUCGAACCCUGUUUUCUGUUGUUUAAGAUGUUUAUCAAGACAAUACGUGCACAGCUGAACAUAGACCCUCAUCAGUAAUUCUAAUUUUGCCCUUUGCCUUGUGAUCUUUGAUUUUGUCCUUGCCCUAUUUCCUCAGAAGCAUGUGAUCUUUGCUCUGCCUUUUGCCCUUUGAAGCAUGUGACUUUGUGACCUACUCCCUGUUUGUACAGCCCCUCCCCUUUUGAAAUCCCUAAUAAAAACUUGCUGGUUUUGUGGCUCAGGUGGGCAUCACGGAUCUACCAAUACGUGAUGUCACCCCCAGCAGCCCAG
rnacentral:lncRNA from 1 species